GCUUGGUUGGCUCAGUUGGAAGAGCGUCAGUCUCAUAGUCUGAGAGCGUUCUGCGCUUGUAAUCUGAAGGUCGUGAGUUCGAGCCUCACACCGAGCA
rnacentral:tRNA from 1 species